GAUGAACGCUGGCGGCGUGCCUAAUACAUGCAAGUCGAACGCGCAGCGAAAGGUGCUUGCACCUUUCAAGCGAGUGGCGAACGGGUGAGUAACACGUGGAUAACCUGCCUCAAGGCUGGGGAUAACAUUUGGAAACAGAUGCUAAUACCGAAUAAAACUUAGUAUCGCAUGAUACAAAGUUAAAAGGCGCUACGGCGUCACCUAGAGAUGGAUCCGCGGUGCAUUAGUUAGUUGGUGGGGUAAAGGCUUACCAAGACGAUGAUGCAUAGCCGAGGUUGGAGACUGAUCGGCCACAUGGGGACUGAGACACGGCCCAAACUGCUACGGGAGGCUGCAGUAGGGAAUCUUCCACAAUGGGCGCAAGCCUGAUGGAGCGACGCCGCGUGUGUGAUGAAGGCUUUCGGGUCGUAAAGCACUGUUGUAUGGGAAGAAAUGCUAAAAUAGGGAAUGAUUUUAGUUUGACGGUACCAUACCAGAAAGGGACGGCUAAAUACGUGCCAGCCGCCGCCGUAA
rnacentral:rRNA from 1 species